CAAAACUUGGUUUUGGUCCAGAUGUUUCACAAAGCAACUAUCUUAGUGAUACUAGAGUUGAGCAACCUCAUGUUAGUCCUCAGACGGCUCCAUCCUGGUUUAAUCAGUAUGGAACUUUUAAAAAUGGGCAAAUGCCACACACAGUCACCUCUUUCAGAACUGCAGAACCAUCUUUUCCUCUUUCAAAAUCUUCCGGUAAUUUUCAUGCACUUAGUCUGAUGGAGCACGGAACUACCGAUGCUGUUAAUACAUGUCAAGUUGGUCGCAUCUUUAAUUCUGCACCCACAUCAGUAGCAACUGGGCCCAAUAAGCAGAAGAAUGAUACUUCUAAACUUCACCCUUGGCACAAAGAAAUAUCACAGGGUUCACAGAACCUUCAGAUUCACAGGUGGUUAUGACAAAUAUUUUUUUUCUGUGUUAUCCUCUUCUAAUGAUUUUUCUGUUACUCUCUCCUGUUCUUAUUGGGCAAAUGCCACACACAGUCACCUCUUUCAGAACUGCAGAACCAUCUUUUCCUCUUUCAAAAUCUUCCGGUAAUUUUCAUGCACUUAGUCUGAUGGAGCACGGAACUACCAAUGCUGUUA
rnacentral:lncRNA from 1 species